UUAAGAAGCAAGUAUUAAAGAAUUUGGUGUGAGGCUGGAGAGAUGGCUCAGCUGUUAAAGGCUAGGCUCACAACCAAAAUAUA
ensembl:miRNA predicted gene, 22370